AUCAGGAGGCACUCAGCUGCGCAGAGAAAUACAACCAGAGCAAGAUCAGCCUGGAGACGUUCAUGCAGUGCCUGAUCGCCCUUGCCGGCCGUGACAUCGUUGUGCGAAGCUGCGACCUGUCUCCAUCCCCUCAGGUGCUGUCCCUCACAGCUCACAGCACCUGCAAUGUCUUACGUUUUGCAGUGUGCUGAGGCCUCUUUGCCAAUGCUUGCGCUUCGCAGUACUCUUAGAGAGGCAGCAACAUCGUCUUCUUAGAAGGGAGAAUGCAUGGUGCACGAAGGCAUUGCCUGUGUACCUCAAUACAUUGCAUGAUGCUGCAUAUUGCUGACAGUUUCCGGACAUGAGUAUUGGCAUGACUGCGGCUGAACUGUCCUCCGGAACUGCCAUUCUUCUCCGAUCUGACACCAGUUCUAUAAUGUCUGCAGGUGGAAGAUGCGCCCCUGACACAUGCCAACAUAGGGGGCCUGCUGAACAGCACACAGUCAAACAAGGGCAUUUUCUGGGACGCUGUGUGGCCGCAGC
rnacentral:lncRNA from 1 species